rnacentral:rRNA from 1 species
ACGGAGGGUGCAAGCGUUGUUCGGAAUCACUGGGCGUAAAGCGCGCGCAGGCGGGACUAGCAAGUCGGGAGUGAAAUCUUGGAGCUCAACUCCGAGGCUGCUUCCGAAACUGCGGACCUGGAGACCAGUAGAGGUUGGUAGAAUUCCCGGUGUAGCAGUGAAAUGCGUAGAUCUCGAGAGGAACACCAGUGGCGAAGGCGGGUCUCUGGACAACACCUGACGCUGAGGCACGAAAGCCAGGGGAGCAAACGGGA